rnacentral:rRNA from 1 species
UACGUAUGGGGCUAGCGUUAUCCGGAUUCAUUGGGCGUAAAGAGCGCGUAGGCGGCUUGUUAAGUCGGAUGUGAAACCUGGGGGCUCAACCCGCAGCGUGCAUCCGAAACUGGCAGGCUUGAGUCUGGUAGAGGAAAGUGGAAUUCCCAGUGUAGCGGUGAAAUGCGCAGAUAUUGGGAGGAACACCAGUGGCGAAGGCGGCUUUCUGGGCCACGACUGACGCUGAGGCGCGAAAGCUAGGGGAGCAAAC